rnacentral:rRNA from 1 species
UACGUAGGAUGCAAGCGUUGUCCGGAAUUACUGGGCGUAAAGGGCGCGCAGGUGGCACUACAAGUCUGAUGUAAAAUCUCCCGGCUUAACUGGGAGGGGCCAUUGGAAACUGUAGAGCUGGAGUGCAGGAGAGGCUAACGGAAUUCCCGGUGUAGUGGUGAAAUGCGUAGAUAUCGGGAGGAGCACCAGUGGCGAAGGCGGUUAGCUGGCCUGUAACUGACACUGAGGCGCGAAGGCUAGGGGAGCGAACAGG